UCUGGGGGAUGGCUCGGCUCAAGCGCCGAUGAAGGUCGUGUCAAGCUGCGAUAAGCGCCGGGUAGGUGCACGAAGCCUAUGAUCCGGCGAUGACCUAAUGGGACUUCCUGCUCUUAGGAGCGGUCCUUAUGGAUCGGGAACGCGGGGGAUUGAAACAUCUUAGUACCCGCAGGAAAAGAAAUCAAUAGAGAUGCCGUUAGUAAAGGCGAUCGAACGCGGCAAAGGGCAAACUGAAUCCCCUCGGAAACGAGUGGGAGAUGUGGUGUUGUUGGAUCCGAGCACAUCUUCGUUGAUAAACCAGAAGUUGGCUGGAAUGCCACGCCAAAGAGGGUGAUAGCCCCGUACGGGUAAAUCAAAAAGAUGAUUUCGGGUAUCCAGAGUAGCGUGCGUUGGAUAUCGCGCGUGAAGCAGGGAAACAUUCAUUUCCAACCCUAAAUACGUCUUGAGACCGAUAGCGCAUUAGUAGCGUGAGCGAAGGCUGAAAAGUACCCUUUACGGGAGGUAAAAAGAGCCUGAAACCAGACGGUUAUAAGCUGAUACGGCGUGAAAGGAACGAAGCUUAAUUGCUGACCAGCGUCGUAUCUUCCGUUUAGAAAAACGGGCCAGGGAGUUCUGAUCAAUGGCGAGACUAAGCGUGUAGACGCGGAGUCGAAGGGAAACCAACCGCCCGCAACUUUUCAAGUGAGGGGCGAGGUGUGCUCGCCUGGAGUCAUUGGUGGGAUACCCGAAGCCAGUCGAUCUAGGCCUGGGCAGGUUGAAGCCUCUCGAAAGGGAGGUGGAGGACCGAACCGGUGCUGAUGUUCAAAUCGCUCGGAUGACCUGGGUCUAGGGGUGAAAGGCCAAUCUAGACUGGAAAUAGCUGGUUCCUCUCGAAACUAGUCGUAGCUAGAUCUCAGUGGAGGCUGAUCAUGGGGUAGAGCACUGAUUGGGCGUUUAGGGGGAGAAAUCCCUCGGCAUCCUGUCAAACUCCGAACCUGUGGUCGUCGUAGAAGCUGGGAGUGAGGGCGUCUGGGGUAAGCUUGGCGUCCAUAAGGGAAAGAACCCAGCCCGAAGUUAAGGUCCCUAAGUACCGGCUAAGUGUAACAUGAAAGGGAGUCCAUAGUCUUAGACAACCGGGAGGUGGGCUUAGAAGCAGCCAUCCUUUAAAGAUAGCGUAACAGCUCACCGGUCGAGAUUGUGGGCCCCAAAAAUGGACGGGGCUAAGCCGGUCACCGAUACUUCGGAGCACCGAAAGGUGAUCUGGUAGAGAGGCGUCGUGCGUGGGUAGAAGCUUGGCUGUGAAGUCAAGUGGACCGCGUUCGAAUGAGGAUCCUGGUAGGAGUAGCAGCAAAGAACGGUGAGAAUCCGUUCCGCCGCAGGGGCUAGGGUUCCUUGGCAAUGUUCGUCAGCCAAGGGUUAGCCGAUCCUAAGUUGACUCUUAAUCGAAGUCUUCGAAAGGGAAGCAGGUUAAUAUUCCUGCGCCAUGCCAGCUUUUGCCUGUCGUCUGACGCAUCUGGAUAGAUCUUACAGGGUUGCCUACCUGUUCAAGCGUUUAAGCCCGCGGAGAACCGUAAUGGUGAGAAACGGGUGAAUGCGUGAUGAGGGGGGCGAAGGCCCCCUUAGGUUAAUUCCUGGUGCCAAUGAAAAGGACGGCAGUUACAUCUGGUGUGUUCGUACCGAGAACUGACACAGGUGCCCCUAGGUGAGAAGCCUAAGGCGUGUCGGCGUAAUCCAGGCGAGGGAACUCGGCAAAUUGGCCCCGUACCUUCGGUAUAAGGGGUGCCAGCCAUGAGAAUGGCUGGUCGCAGUGACCAGGGAGCUCCGACUGUUUAAUAAAAACAUAUAUGGCAGCUAGUCCGAAAGGAUGUGUAUUGCCGUUGAAGCCUGCCCAGUGACGGUAUCUGAACCUCCGGUUCAACGGAGCGAAGGACCGUUAAACGGCGGGGGUAACUAUGACCCUCUUAAGGUAGCGUAAUACCUUGCCGCUUAAUUGGCGGCUCGCAUGAAGGCCCAACGAGAGCUCUACUGUCCCCGCCUGGAAGCCGGUGAAACUGACAAUACUGGCGCACAGUCCAGUAUCUUCCAUCUGAAAGCGAAGACCCCAUGGAGCUUUACUGCAACCUGUGGUUGUGGUAUGAGCUUGUAUGUGUAGGGUAGGCGGGAGACGUUACCCAGGACCUGCCGCUAGGUAGGCUCCGAGUCAACGAUGAAACACCGCCCUUAUGAGUUCGUAUCACUUACUUCUCCGGAAGGACACCUAUAGGUGGGCAGUUUGGGUGGGGCGCCACGCGCUCAAAAAGAUAUCAAGCGCGCCCAAUGGUCAGCUCAGGCAGGUCAGAAAUCUGCCGAAGAGUGCAAGGGCAAAAGCUGGCUUGACGCGGAUCGGGACAACAACGACCCGCGAUGCGAAAGCAGGGCCUAGCGAACCAUUGAACCUUCUGAAUGGGGGUCAAUGAUGACAGAAAAGUUACCCUGGGGAUAACUGAGUUGUCUCCUGCAAGAGUUCAUAUCGACCAGGAGGCUUGCUACUUCGCUGUCGGCUCUCCCUAUCCUGGCGGUGCAGCAGCUGCCAAGGGUGGGGUUGUUCGCCC
rnacentral:rRNA from 1 species